UACGUAGGUGGCAAGCGUUGUCCGGAAUUACUGGGCGUAAAGGGCUCGUAGGCGCCAACUAAGUCAUACGUGAAAUCCCUCGGCUUAACCGGGGAACUGCGUCUGAUACUGGAUGGCUUGAGUGUGGCAGAGGGAGGUAGAAUUCCACGUGUAGCGGUGAAAUGCGUAGAUAUGUGGAGGAAUACCGAUGGCGAAGGCAGCCUCCUGGGCCAACACUGACGCUCAUGCACGAAAGCGUGGGGAGCAAACAGG
rnacentral:rRNA from 1 species